rnacentral:rRNA from 1 species
GCGUUGCCUUAAGCAUGCAAGUCGAACGGGAUUUCGAGUCGCAAGAUUUGUUUUCUAGUGGCGGACGGGUGAGGACAAGCAGGGAACGUACCCAGAACUUUGGGAUAGCUCGUCGAAAGACGGGGUAAUACCGAAUAUGAUCGCAAGAUCAAAGACGUAAGUCGGUUUUGGAGCGGCCUUGCACUUAUCAGCUAGUUGGUGGGGUAAAAGCCUACCAAGGCUACGACGAGUAGGGGGCGUGAGAGCGCGACCCUCCACAAUGGCACUGAGACACGGGCCAUACGUCUACGGACGGCAGCAACUGGGAAUAUUCGGCAAUGGACGAAAGUCUGACCGAGCGACGCCGCGUGAGGGAUUAAGGUUUUCGGAUCGUAAACCUCUUUUAUAUAGCCGUCGAGGCUAUAAGAAUAAGCACCUACAAACUACGUGAUCCCGAUGACAGAUCGGGAUUGGUGCGUAGAUACUGCAGUAAUGUAGUAUGAGAAAAUUUCGCUAUAUGCUGGAACACCUUGAUAUUUCCGCGAAUUAUUCCCGACGUAAGUCGGGACAAGUAUCAAGACAAUCAGCAGGCAACCCCGACUUAGUCGGGGGCGCCUCAGAGACUACACGCGAAACUCCCAAUGGUACAUUGGGAUGAUGAUAUAGUCCAUGUUUUGUGUCACCCCAAUGGGGUGGAACAAGGCCAGCAGUCGCGGUAAUACGUAGGGUGCAAGCGUUAUCCGGAUUUACUGGGCGUAAAGUGUCGUGUAGGCGGAUUUCCGCAUCGUAUCUGAAAGACCGAGGCUCAACCUCGGCAGUGGAUACGAGAUGGGGAGUCUUGGAGAGAUGGAGAGGCAAGGGGAACUCAUGGUGAAGCAGUGAAAUGCGUUGAUAUCAUGAGGAACACCAAAGGCGAAGGCACCUUGCUGGCCAUUUUCUGACGCUGAGACACGAAAGCUGGGGGAGCGAAGCAGAUUAGAGACCUGCGUAGUCCCAGCCCUAAACGCAUGUCUGCUAGAUGCCCCUUCGUAAGAGGGGGUGUCGUAAGCUAACGCGUUAAGCAGACCGCCUGGGGAGUACGAGCGCAAGCUUAAAACUCAAAGGAAUUGACGGGGACCCGCACAACCAGUGGAGCGUGUGGUUCAAUUCGAGACAAAGCGAAGGACCUCACCAGGGUUUGACAUGUUACCGUUUUAACCACCUGGAAACAGGAGGCUAUCCGCAAGGAUGGUAGCACAGCUGCUGCAUGGCUGUCGUCAGCUCGUGCCGUGGGGUGUUCCCUUAAGUGGGACAACGAGCGCAACCCCUAUCCAAUGUUACACGUAUCAUUGGAGACCGCCCUCGCUCAAAGUGCGAAAGAGUCGGAAGUCGUCAGUCUUCAGUCGUCAGACAAUUUGUCUGAAAGCUGAUGACUGAUAGCUGAAAGCUUUUUUGCUUUUUGAGCGAGGGAGGAAGGAGGGGACGACGUCAAGUCAGCACGGCGCUUAUACCCUGGGCCACACACACCCUACAAUGGCGAACAACAACGGGAUGCAAGCCGGUAACGGUAAGCAAAUCUCUGAAAUUUCGCCUCAAUUCAGAUUGAGGUCUGCAACCCGACCUCAUGAAGUUGGAAUUGGUAGUAAUCGCGGAUCAGCAGGCCGCGGUGAUACGU